UCUCGAUUGGUCUAGUGGUGAGGAUACCUGCUUGUCAUUCUUAAACGAACCGCAGGUGGCCGGGGUUCGAUUCCCCGAUCGAGAG